UAUGGAUUAAAAUUUAUAAAAUACAGAUCAGUUAAUAUUGCACUUAAGUAAUUUUACCUUUUUAAUGUGAUUUUUAUAGAAUAAUUCAGACUUACAAAUACAGAGAUAUGAACAAAGUUUACAGUGGGAACAAAGGUUUAAAAAAAGGUUGUGGUUCUCUCUCUGUGAUCCAGUGUGCACAUAAACCUUUCUCUGAUCUUUCACUGCCAUCCUCUGGAUUAUGUCUUCUGACCUGUCCAUUUUGACCCAUUAACUGGAAAGUUGAAAAACUACAUUAACUGGAAAGUUGAAAAACUACAUUACUUUGGAGAAUAAAACCGAAAGUUCGUGUAUACCUUCUUAAAAAAAAAAUCAAACCAAAAAUGUGAAAACAAUAGAAUUGCAAAGAUAGCAGUUAAAAUUUUAAUCUGAAAAUAACCUUUGAAUCUCGGGCUAGGUUACGUCCAUAUUUGAAGUGGUCAGUGAUGGUUUGAACAUUUUUUGCAGGAUGAGUGAAAAUGCACUGGAUUAUAUUUGGGAUUUUUGUUUUUGGAAUUGUCUGUUUUAAUCACAGCCUUAAUUCACAAUUGGCAAAGGCAGUUUACUCAAAGGACUGGGCUAAAUAUUCUGUAAUUAUGCAUUUUUGAUAGGAAAAUGAAAUUUUUGCAAACAGACAUUUUCUUUUUUUUUGGCUGGAGUGCAGUGGGGCAUGGUCUUGGCUCACUGCAGCGUUGACCACCUGGGCUCAAGUGAUACUCCCGCCUCAGCCACCCAAGUAGCUGGCACUACGGGCACACGCCACCAUGCCCAGCUAAUUUUUUUGUAUUUUUAGUAGAGAUGGGGUUUUGCCAUGCUGCCCAGGCUGGUCUCAACUCCUCAGCUCAAGCAAUCUGCCUGCGUGAGCCUCCCAAAGUGGUGGAAUUACAGGCGUGGGCCACUGCGCCUGGCCCAGACAGACAUUUUCUGAAACACAACUGGCAAUGAGCUGUUUUUACAUUUUGAAAGUGAUUCUUCACUUCCUAGUUCUUAAUUAUAGUAUACCUAUUAAGAUCUGUAAGAUCCUGAAGACAUAAGAUCAUGAAGCCAUAUAAGAAUGAGGAUUGAAAGUUGAGCAAAAUUUUCGGGAUUUUGGGAAACAUUCUUAGCUGUGCUAUCUGCCUAAAAUUAUUCCUUAUUACUUCUCUCCUUUGACAGACUUCAAGUUUUCUUCAUAGCCCUUUCAAAGUUUUUUGAGCCAUCCAGAGUAAAAUCAUUUCUAAAUGAUAGUUCUGUAUAUCUCCAACUCGUCUUAAGUGUAUUUGCCUGUGUGCAACGUAUUGCUAGACUAUGAACUCCUCAGCAUGGCUGCUGGAUAACUUAAUUGUCCUGAGUUAAUAGCCUUCAAAGGACAAAUCGGUUUCUUUGCAGAUAGCUUCGUAAAACUUCACAUGGAGUUUAUUUUAUCAUAUUUCCCUUUUUUAUUUCUGCUCCUCCUUUAAUUGCCCAUCUUGCUUCAGAGACUGACAUUUCAGGGUGGAUAUUAAUUAAAGCAUUAAUUUUGUUUUUUGGUAUAUUUCUAUCCCUAGUAUUUCUAUCUUACUGCUAAAAUACAGGAAAAGUGCCGUAUUUUUAAUGCAUUUAGUGGUUUUCUUUGGUGUUAUCUGUUCCAUUUUUCUUUUUCAUACAUUGAAGUGUGUCUCCUUUUCAACCAAAAUAAUGAAAUAGUGGAGACCAUGAAAUUGUUGUGCCUGGCUAAUUGGCAAAUUAAUUUACCAAUAUAAUAAGUGUAGCGCCUUGUUUGAAUACCCUUUUUGAGAAGGUAUGAUGAGAAUGGGCAAGGGUGUCAGCAUCUCUUCUUCUUAAUAAUUAAUUGUUUUCAGUUUUGGUUCACGAAGAAUGCUUAGUUAAUCUGUAAUGUUGCCUAGAGCUGUAUUUAUCUGUUUUUAUUUAUACUAGUGUAGUAAAGCUGCAUAUCAUUACAGUAAAAACGACUACUGUGAUGAGUUAAUCAGAAAAUCUAUUAAAAUCUAUAUGAC
rnacentral:lncRNA from 10 species